rnacentral:lncRNA from 1 species
CCAAUUACCAGGGUGAUUCUUCAGAUCCUCGUAACCUCACUCUAGUCGUAGCAAUAUAAGCAGACAUGGUAUAGAUAAAAUUAACAUCACACCAAACAUAAGAAUAUACUACAUAAUAAUGAUCUACGCAUUUGUACGAGUCUAACUCAACUUGAACGGAUCAAAUCAGAGUUAAAACGAAGAAGUUAUGAAUUUCUAAUGAUUUUAUGUGUUUUGUACAAGAUUAAAUUAGGAAUUAGAUUUUAAAGUGGUUUUCAUGUCAAAUCAGAGGUACUAUGUGAUAAAAAAAUAAUAUUAUAUAAUUAUAGAAAUUGGAACGGGCUCAUUUGGACUUAAUAUGAAUUUUCUAUGGAUUUAACAAGAUUCUGGAAUUGUUUUUAUAUAAGAAAUUCAUUUUCUAAAUCAUUUCCUCUGAUUUUCCAUUUCCCUGGACUGCGACUACUAAUAUCACCAAGAUCAGGGGCUAAAGCAUAAAGCUUACGCAGACUCAGAACUUCCCCCGCUAGGACGGCGGGUUUAUUUCUAAAAAUCGUAGGGUCUCUUUAGCAUAAAUGCCAAGGCGAAGGGGUAUUGGUUGAUCUGCAUCGUUGGACGCGAGAUCGACGGUGCAGGAUAGAUUCGUCCAUGCCUGAACCGAUAUGCUAUGCGAAACCUUGGAUCCAGAUCAGACGGUCCACACUCAAUCCGAGCACAUAAACGCGAUGACUCAAUCCCACCCGUCUGAUCAUAGAUCCACGGUUCAAACUCUCCCACACCCAGACCCGACGGGAGCCCUUGGUUUUUAGAUGAACGGCUGAGAUCUCCAACAACUAAAAAGGGGUACGCUCACUCUAAUCCUGGUCGCACACUAAGGAUCUAAUGGCUCACGUGCGGCACCCCCGAGGUAAUACCCCUCAUCCAAUCCUAACCGCACAAAGGUGGAUCAAAGGUGCCAGCCGCGUCUUCCUCAUCCUCAAAGGUGAAUCCCGACGACACCCAGCGGUGGCGACAUCACCGGUCCUAGCUGAACCCCGAUCCUGAGCUCGAAGCAUCUCUCCCGAACAAGCUACUCGAGGCGGAGGUAAGUGCGACGUUG